GGCGCUAUAGCCAAGUGGUUACGGCGACAGAUUCGAAUUUUCUACAAUCGAAGUUGCUAUCUGUUCCUCUUUGAGGGCGCAGGUUCAAUCCUGCUGGCGUCG